CUUGAAAUGGUAAAGAAACUACUAUUAAAUGUUCUUAAUAUGUUGGGUGUUUUCUUUAUUUACAGGGAAUAAAUAAAUCUGCUCUUUGACAUUAUUGAAAUUACCUAAUGCAGGAAAGAGCAAAAUAUAGUUCAGGACUAAAGGCAUAUAUUGGAGCAUGUCAAUUUAUCUGAUCUUGAUGGUUUUGGUUCUACUGCUUAAGAUGUGGGCCACUUUGUAGUCAAUUAUCGUCUUGUACAAAACACGCAAGGACCAUGACAACAUCCAGUUGAAAUCAAUUUCAAUGAAGUCUCACGUAAACUUCAUAUGGGACACUGAAGGAGGCUCUAUAAAGAGUAAUUGAGGCGUGAAAAAGUUUAUUCCUCACACUUUCUCCACUACUUGCCCCUCUUCUUCUACUUCAUUCAUUGAUUUCAGAUAAUAUCUCGUUUAGAUUUGUCCUUAAUCUAUAAUUUCCUCCAGCUAGCCUUUAUAUAUUCCUGCUUGUGUUUAAUUUUGGUCAUUAAUAACCUUAUUCUUGCUACUUCAGAUAUAAAUUAAUUGG